rnacentral:rRNA from 1 species
AUUAAACGCUGGCGGCAUGCCUUACACAUGCAAGUCGAACGGCAGCACGGGGGCAACCCUGGUGGCGAGUGGCGGACGGGUGAGUAAAGCAUCGGAACGUAUCCUGGAGUGGGGGGAUAACGUAGCGAAAGUUACGCUAAUACCGCAUAUUCUGUGAGCAGGAAAGCAGGGGAUCGCAAGACCUUGCGCUCUGGGAGCGGCCGAUGUCGGAUUAGCUAGUUGGUGGGGUAAAGGCCUACCAAGGCGACGAUCCGUAGCGGGUCUGAGAGGAUGAUCCGCCACACUGGGACUGAGACACGGCCCAGACUCCUACGGGAGGCAGCAGUGGGGAAUUUUGGACAAUGGGCGCAAGCCUGAUCCAGCCAUGCCGCGUGAGUGAAGAAGGCC